rnacentral:lncRNA from 1 species
AUAAUCAUAAAUGAUAUGUGCUUAUAAACAGAUAUAUACCUCCAUAAUCUAUACUAUUAAUUGGGAAGGACAACUUGAAGCCAAACACCCCCCAAUUUUAAAAAAAAAAUUUCAUGAAAAUAAAAUCAGUUGCCAAACAGAAUUAAUGACAGCAAAACAAAAAACAAAAACAAAAACAAUCUAUAUUUAUGGAAAUCAUAAUAAUCUUUUACCAUAAAAAGUGGACAAUUAAAUUCAAA